GAAUAGUCAUCCCACUCAUUACCAGUUCCAUUAUAAGCUACAAACUUUUACAGGCAUAUCAAUAUAAUGCUAAAAUAUAUUGUGGCAGUGAUGUUAAAGGCAGUGGAGGCACCAAGGCGAGGCGUCCCUCUAGCACCUCGCCUAGCACCGCCUGACUUGCUUUCAAUAAGGCGAGCGCCUCCAGCAGGCGAGGCAAGGGGCUCUGAGGCACUGAGGAGAUGCCUCUUUGAAGUAAAGGUUUUUUUUUUUUUUCUUUUUUAAUGAUCCUACAUCCGGUCAGCAUGGAACAAUUCCUUGUAGAGCUGAUCUCCAGACUCCAGAGCUUGUUGUACGUUUUGCCCAUUCUAUUUUCUGUUAUUUCAUGUAUAAACACUA
rnacentral:misc_RNA from 1 species